AUCUGUUACUUACAUCAUAUCCUGUGUGCCAAAAAUGCAUUAAAGUUCCAAAAACGCUGACGACUUUUCCUUUGUCUUAGGGUAAGACUACACGGCCGAUUUCGUUGCGUGUCCGACGCUGGGAAUAAGUGCAAUUUGCAAGAAAGAUUUUGCUACGGAAGAAAAUCAUCAUGGUUCCUGCACCUUGUCCUCCCCAUUUAAGCUGCCAUUAAAAUGUUUUGGUGAGUGUAUCCAAGCAUCAUUCUCUAAUAUUGUGGAUAUGGUUUUCUUGAGUAAUUAUUGCAAUGGGAAAUUAAGAUAGUAAAUAGUAGGUGAAUUUGAAAAAACACUCUUCUAUCAAGACGGGUAAAAACCUCCCUGAGGCUAAGAGAACAAUUGGACCAGUCCCCAGGCCUGGAUUUGUGACGAGGCCGCAAAGGCCUGGGCCUAGGGUGGUGAAUUGUUAGGGGCGGCACUGGGGGUGUGCAACUCCCAAGUGCUCCGGCGCUCACACCGUAGUGUGGGCGGGCACUAGGAUCAUGUGACUGGGCGCUAGGACCAUGCACCCUAGGGGCGCCCGUCCGCUAAAUCUGAUGCUGCCAGUCCAUUGAUCAACUUUAUACUAAAGGUAAUUUCAGUACCUUGGUAUUUUCUCCCUUGAUACAAGGCCAUCCAACCCCUUCUUGAAAUCUUACGUAUCUGCCAGUACAACAGCCUUGGGGAGAGUAUUUCACAACUUCACAGCCCUCCCUGUAAUAAACCUUUCCACAUCUUAAGGUGAGACGUCCUGUUUCCUUGCCUUCAUAUCCUUCACGGCUGGAACUAACUACCUCAUACUACUAGUUCUGGAUAGCUGAGAGAGGGGCAAUGUACAACCCCAUUCAUAGUGCACAUUGCAUCACUGUUCCUUCUUGUCAGACCCUUCCUGCACCACAUCACCCCCAGUCCACAUAAACUGCUCCCCCUCUUACUUCUCACCUGACAGUGGGGGCAGGGUAAUUGAGGGGUCCCAGUGAGUGUUCCCUGGAAGAAACUACCGGGUUAAUAAAGGAUCUGAGAACUUAUUGUAUGUUACAUUUAUAAAUUUAUAUAAAGUAAUCAUGUGCCCCUUAAGUGUUCAUCUCCAGCUUAGCCAUACCUUCCAUUCCCUUUAACUUAGCAGUUCUUUAGACUUUCUUUCAUUAUUACCUACAUAGUACAUAUGGUUGAAAAAAAUAUACAGAUAUAUAAACUAUACAUACCAAUAUGUAUACUACUUGUGUAUCAUAGCAUCACAAUAUCCUUUUAUAUUAUGGUUGUUCAAGAAAUCAUCCAAGCCACUAUUAAAGGAAUAAUAGAAUCUGCUAUUACACUUGGCAGCCUCACUGUCCUCACCACGUCCGCUGUUCCCCUAAUCUAAAGGUGUGGCCUCUGGUGCGUUAAUGGUUUUUAAGGGAAAAUAUCCUAUGCUAUCUGUCUAUAAUGCACUCUAAAGUACUUGUAAAGAGUAAUCAUGUAGCCUCGCAGUCUAUCCUCAUAGUUUACUCUCUAAACAACAAAAUGCUUUAAUGGGUCAAAUUUUAGCAGUAGCCAGAAUCAACUUGGCGAAGAAUUGGCUCCAAAAAACUAUAGACACUCAAGGUAUGGUAGAAAAAAUUAGCCAGACACAGAAUCUGUUAUAUUUAACGGCUUUAUUGGCAGACACAGUAGAGAAACAUACAAAAAUAUGGGAUCCAUGGAACAUAUUCCUGCAUUCGUGAGAAAUCUGUACAAGUAAUGUAUUUGGUACCAAAUGUGAUGAAUGAAUACUGGUAAGAACAACUUAAGGUUAUUGAUAUCCUACACUAACCUUCCCGAUCCUUCAAGAAUAUUAUACUAAAUGUAAUGUAUACGUUAUCAUUUGUCAUUGCAUUUUAAAAUGUUAAAAUAAAAGAGAUUUAAAAAAAAAAAAAAAAAUCAAAGGACAGACCCCUGCAGUAUUCUGCUGCUUUGGGUUUUACCAAACAGAGAACUUAUUGGGGCAGAUUCACUAAAGGGUGGCGUGGCUAACGCUAGGGACAUUUCGCAAGAAAUCCCAUCAUCAACAAUUUACUAACAGGCGUAGGUGACAAUUUGACUUUUCGCUGUAGCGAACGGGCGUAACUCUGCAAAUUCACUAAGAUGCAAAUGUUUCUGGAUGUUACCUCUUUCGUCAGAGUUUCCUUCAGACCAGACGAACUGCUUAAAUAAAGCUACAUCUUUCUCAAUCUU